AUGAAGCAGAGGUCCGCAGCCGUUCCAUGCUCCAUCGCGCAUUGCGGGCAGCCUUCGGGUGCUGGAAGAUCAAAGAAAGCUUUCCAAGGGUGCAAGGAAAGAAUCUUCAAAUACAGAUCACCAUCUCCUUGGAGAGGAGUCUUGGUGGGGCACAAGGAGGAGGAGAUGAAGGAAAUGGAACGUGCUGCCAGAGCCAUCCCGAGCAUAAUGGCUGGGAUUUGGGGGAGCUGGGCUGCAGGGGACUGGUUUCACUCAGGAAGGAGGCCUGGUAGGUGGGAAAGAGGAGAGAAGAAAACUUGUGUCUUCUGGUGGGUGCUAAAAAAAGACUUGAGGCUCCUACGCAGAUGAAAAGUCUCCCAUCAACCCGGCAAGUUACAUGAUUAAGACAAAGCUGUCCCACACCCUCAAGCCGCCCCAGGUAUAGAUUUUAGCCUAGGUGUGGCGGUCUAAAAUACAAUGAAAUUGGUUCCUGCCUUGGCCUUAUCCUCCAGGGAUGGACCUGCUGUCAUACCGCUGCAGGGUUGGCUCUCUCUCCCCGAGUGACCAAAAUGAUCCAGUAGAGAACCCUCAGCUUGGAGUCAAGAAGCAACUUCAUUCAUGGCCCAAAUAACAAAGUGACUUGUUGGCUGAUGGGAAAAUUUGUUCGGUUCACAUAGGAAGCUAAGCCAUAGGCACACGUGAGGGAGCCGCCAUUUUCAGGGCUUGGGUUGCAGGGGACAGGGCUCGGGAAGGUCCUGUCUUUGACAUUCUUGCCUUACGCUUUGGCGGCGUUAUCCCUGGGCUUUGUCAUCGAGCUUCUGUGGAGGGUCGCGGGACAUCGAGUCCCUGGGGGGGAGGGGGGGGUUAAAUCCCCAUGUGGUGGCCUCUCCAGAAUCGGCUCCACUGUCAGAGCACAAAGCUUGUCCAGUCCAGGGAUGCUGGGGCCACGCUUCCCUCCUCUCACCAUCCCAUGACAUCCUAUGCUAAAAGCAACAGGAAAUCCUGUUCCCAAAUGGAAGAGAUGAUUGUUUUCCUUGACCUUUUACAGUCAAAGAGUACAUAUACCCUGGGUUUUGUUUCAUUCCCCACAAGACAGUCUAGGGACAGUCCCCAGAUUGGGAAACAUUGCUGUGUACCAUAAGCUGUACCUUACCACGUUUUGGUUUUGCAGGGUGGGAGGGAGGGAGGGUGAAGCUGCUUUCCCUCUUGUAACAAUAAAUAAAACUGUUCAAUACUAAACUUUGUUCCU
rnacentral:lncRNA from 1 species